rnacentral:rRNA from 1 species
CCCUUAGACGUUCUGGGCCGCACGCGCGCUACACUGACGAAGGCAACGAGCUUUCCUUUACCGAAAGGUACGGGUAAUCUUUUGAAACUUCGUCGUGCUGGGGAUAGAUCCUUGCAAUUUUUGAUCUUAAACGAGGAGUGCCUAGUAAGCGCAAGUCAUCAACUUGCGUUGAUUACGUCCCUGCCCUUUGUACACACCGCCCGUCGCUACUACCGAUUGAAUGGUUUAGUGAGGCCUUCGGAUCCGCGACUCGUUUGUGGAGAAGUUGGACAAACUCAGUCAUUUAGAGGAAGUAAAAGUCGUAACA